rnacentral:snoRNA from 1 species
CCCGAGACUAGAGUCACAUCCUGACAUAGUUCUUGUCCUGAUGUGCUGGAGUUCUCGGAGAGAAUUUGCUGGUCUUUUUUUUUUUUUUUUUUUUUUUUUAAGAUUUUAUUUAUUUAUUUGAGAGAGAGACAGAGAGGACAUGA